rnacentral:lncRNA from 1 species
CCAUCCUAGUCAAUGCACACAUACACUGAUUUCGCAUCUAUCGUUACUAUAGAAACUGAACCACACUUUCUCCUUGUCGUUGAUCUCGCCCUGCAAUAGCUAUAUUGCAGCUACUUAGAGCAAAAAAUAAAAAACUCAUAGCUAUAUUUGUCGAAAAUUCAACGCGAUAUCCAUAUUUAGCAAUUUGUUCAAUUGUUUGUAUGAUAACCGUGGUUGAGUCGAAUUUUUACGUAAUAUCUUACUUGGAAAAUGCUUGGUUUAUCUCCUCAAACAGUCCCUUGUUCUGAGAAAGCCCGAGAUUUGUGCGACCCUUUCUACCCCAUCUAGCUCUGUUUCGCUUGAGAGGGCAUUUGGGACCCUUUUUGUCCACCUGCAUCUUGUUUUACACCACAUCUUGCCUUUGUUCGAUGAACUAGAAAUGGCAAAAAAAAAUUUGAUUCAGAUUAUAUCUUUUCAUGAUUUUCUUUGAUGUGGGUUUAUCUUCUACACACAAACUAAAGGAAAAAAAAUUAUAUCAUGUGGCUAAGGGUAUAAUUGAACAUAUACCGUAUGGCUACAAAUCAUGUGGAUUAUAUCAUGGAUUCUAAUUAUAUCAUGUGGGUUUAUCUUCUACACACAAACUAAAGGAAAAAACUGCAAAGGCUACCCGUGAAGCCGAAAAACCGAUUGUCAUAAGUGGUCCUUCUGGAGUGGGUAAGGAUCCUCUAAUUUCCAAAUUGAUGGAAG